rnacentral:rRNA from 1 species
UACAGAGGGGGCAAGCGUUGUUCGGAAUUACUGGGCGUAAAGGGCGCGUAGGCGGCCUGCUAAGUCGAACGUGAAAUCCCCGAGCUCAACUCGGGAACUGCGUCCGAUACUGGCAGGCUUGAAUCCGGGAGAGGGAUGCGGAAUUCCAGGUGUAGCGGUGAAAUGCGUAGAUAUCUGGAGGAAUACCGGUGGCGAAGGCGGCAUCCUGGACCAUUACUGACGCUGAGGCGCGAAAGCUAGGGGAGCAAACGGG